AGAGUGUGUGUGAGAGAGAGUUUUUGUGAGAGUGUGCAUGUGAGAGUGUGAGUGUGUGUAUGUGUGCAUGUGAGAGUGUGUGUAAGAGUGUGUGAGUGUGUGUGUGUGAGUGUGAGAGUGUGCGUGUGAGUUUGUGUGUGAGAGUGUGCGUGUGAGAGAGUGUGUGUGAGUGUGUGUAUGUAUGCGUGUGAGAGUGUGAGUGUGUGUGUGAGAGUGUCAGUGUGUGUGAGUGUGUGUAUGUGUGCGUGUGAAAGUGUGCGUGAGAGUGUGAGAGUGUGUGUGAAAGUGUGCGUGAGAGUGUGAGAGUGUGUGUGAAAGUGUGCGUGUGAGAGUGUGUGCGAGAGUGUGUGUGAGAGUGUGCGUGUGAGAGUGUGUGUGAGAGUGUGAGAGUGUGUGUCAAAGUGUGCAUGAGAGUGUGUGUGAAAGUGUGCGUGUGAGAGUGUGUGUGAGAGUGUGUGUGAGAGUGCGUGUGAGAGUGUGCGUGAGAGUGUGAGUGUGUGUGAAAGUGUGCGUGUGAGAGUGUGUGCGAGAGUGUGUGCGAGAGUGUGUGCGAGAGUGUGUGUGAGAGUGUGUGCGAGAGUGUGUGUGAGAGUGUGAGAGUGUGUGUGAGAGUGUGAGUGUGUGUGUGGAAGCUGUAACUGAGACCAUGUGACUCUAGGUAAGAGAAUGAAAUAGAAAAUCAGUACAGUGUUUAAAUACAGAGAUAUUAUUCAUGUUUAUUUAUAAUCUGACCUCAAACACCACGAUACUCUAUCUCUCUCACUCUCUCUCUCUCCCCCAUACUCUCGCACUCUCUCACUCGCACUCUCUCUCUCCCCCAUACUCUCGCACUCUCUCACUCGCACUCUCUCUCUCUCCCCCAUACUCUCGCACUCUCUCACUUGCACUCUCUCACUCUCUCCCCCAUACUCUCGCACUCUCUCACUUGCACUCUCUCUCUCUCCCCUAUACUCUCGCACUCUCUCACUCGCACUCUCUCACUCGCACUCUCUCUCUCUCCCCCAUACUCUCACACUCUCUCACUUGCACUCUCUCCCCCAUACUCUCGCACUCUCUCACUUGCACUCUCUCACUCUCUCCCCCAUACUCUCGCACUCUCUCACUCGCACUCUCUCACUCGCACUCUCUCUCUCUCCCCCAUACUCUCACACUCUCUCACUUGCACUCUCUCCCCCAUACUCUCGCACUCUCUCACUUGCACUCUCUCUCACUUGCACUCUCUCACUCUCUCCCCCAUACUCUCGCACUCUCUCACUUGCACUCUCUCACUCUCUCCCCCAUACUCUCGCACUCUCUCACUUGCACUCUCUCACUCUCUCCCCCAUACUCUCGCACUCUCACUCGCACUCUCUCUCUCUCCCCCAUACUCUCACACUCUCUCACUCGCACUCUCUCUCUCUCCCCCAUACUCUCGCACUCUCUCCCCGAUACUCUCUCACUCUCUCUCCCCAUACUCUCUCACUCCCCAUACUCUCGCACUCUCUCACUCUCUCCCCCAUACUCUCUCACUCUCACUCCCCAUACUCUCUCUCUCUCACUCUCUCUCCCCAUACUCUCUCACUCGCACUCUCAAUCCCCAUACUCUCUCUCACUCACACUCUCUCUCUCACUCGCACUCUCUGUCUCUCACUCUCUCUCCCCAUACUCUCUCACUCGCACUCUCAAUCCCCAUACUCUCUCUCACUCACACUCUCUCACUCACUCACACUCUCUCCCCAUACUCUCUCUCACUCACUCUUGCCCACAUUCUCUCAUACUCUCUCUCUCACACACACUCUCCUCUCUCUCUCUCUCUCACUCACGCUCUCUCUCACACUCUCUCUCCAUACUCCCAUAUUCUAUAGUCACAUUCCUUACUCCACACACUACUACUCACACAAGAUCGCUACACACAGAUCUAUCUAUUCAGCUUAAAGUCCUCUAAUGAUUUUGCACACACACACACACACACACACACACACACACACACACACACACACACACACAGACAGUGUGAGUAACUCCUCCUCCUCAUGUCUCACUCUGAUUGACUGCUUCUGCUGACCUCACAAACCAUGUGUCCAGUGUAACACUGUCUCUUCUUACUGGACAUGGGGUGAUGUGUGUGUGUGUGUGUGCGUGUGUGUGUGUGUGUGUGUGUAACAUGUCGGUUCAGGGGUAAAUAAUGGAUUUAUUUCUGUGCCUCAGGAUAAAGAAACUGCAGGAAAAACAUCUUGGAGUCUCUCAUAAGCACACACGUGCAUGUUAUCCUGUCAGGAGAGGAAACCUGCUUCUGGUUAUGUAAACACGAUCCAGUGGAAAACGCCUAAACAUAACACACAGCUAUCAUCAGUUCAAUUAUUCCGAUCAACCCUCUUUUAGAAACAUCUCACCUUCCAGCUAGGGACGUGAUGGUGAGGAAAUUUUCGCACCGGUUAAUAGACAUGUGACAACACCGGGAAAAUGACGGUGGGGGAGGAGCCGCGGUGGAGGCGGAGCCACGGUGGGCAAAUGAUGUAAUCGCCGUACAGCCAAACACCGGGAACAUAGAGUAUCACUGCAAGCCUACUUCCAGCACGAUAAUGAGAUAACUGUGUAAGGGAGAUCCCCUCGCUAUUUGAUAGAUCUGGGGCUUUUCUGCAUGGAAGAGUGGAAUAAAAUGACCAAAUGGAGAUUAGUAGAUAGACUCAGAAAGACUAAGCCCCCAAAGAACUGCUCUUCCUCCCUCAUCAGAACUACCAUUAUACCAGACACCACCUUAUUACCCUUUCAUUCUGCCCCUUAGAAUCUCUCCCUGUGAUCCUACAUUAGAUCUCUUACUCUCUCCUACCAAACUAAUCCCAUUAGGCCCCACUAUACCCACCUUUACUGUCACCCCAAUUCUGCCCAAUGUACCCCUCACCAUCACCUACCAUUUCUGCCCCCUUAAAUUUGCCCAAUUUACAUUGAACUCAACCCUUCCUGUACCCCAGAUGCCUCUCUUUCCACCCAAAUCUGCCACUCCAUCCGUACAACUCUACCCCCAUCCACCACAUCAGCUCUUCCUUUCCUGUCCAAGUCAACUUGUCCUGUCCCCUAAAUCUACCCCUCAGGUCCAGCUCAAUAUACUCUUUUUUUACCCUCCUGAAUCAGGCAACCUGACAAAAUCCCUCCCUCCA
ensembl:lncRNA